GAUGAACGCUGGCGGCGUGCCUAAUACAUGCAAGUCGAGCGAACAGACGAGGAGCUUGCUCCUCUGACGUUAGCGGCGGACGGGUGAGUAACACGUGGAUAACCUACCUAUAAGACUGGGAUAACUUCGGGAAACCGGAGCUAAUACCGGAUAAUAUAUUGAACCGCAUGGUUCAAUAGUGAAAGACGGUUUUGCUGUCACUUAUAGAUGGAUCCGCGCCGCAUUAGCUAGUUGGUAAGGUAACGGCUUACCAAGGCAACGAUGCGUAGCCGACCUGAGAGGGUGAUCGGCCACACUGGAACUGAGGCACGGUCCAGACUCCUACGGGAGGCAGCAGUAGGGAAUCUUCCGCAAUGGGCGAAAGCCUGACGGAGCAACGCCGCGUGAGUGAUGAAGGUCUUCGGAUCGUAAAACUCUGUUAUUAGGGAAGAACAAAUGUGUAAGUAACUAUGCACGUCUUGACGGUACCUAAUCAGAAAGCCACGGCUAACUACGU
rnacentral:rRNA from 1 species